AAUUGAGACAUUAGAAUGAUGACCGUCUGAGAAAUGUUAGGAUUUGGUUGCAAGAUUAGAAAGAAGAAAUGAAAAAUAGGGAACAUAAUUUCGUUUGGCUUCUUCGUUAUUUUAGAGAUAAAUUGCAUAUUUAUUAAAAAGGCUAUGACGGAAAGUGGGAUUAUCCGACCAUGAUCUACAGAUCACGUGUCCAAUUGGUACCAUACCUCUGGCUUUAUAACCAAGACCGUUCGCUAUCAUUUCUGGACGCCUGGACAGACACAGUUUGGUCUAAGAGUGCUAAGUCCAGAUUGUUGACCAAUCGAAGGAUCAACUCGUCGAGAAUAAAAGUGCAGUUGAAACGACAUCGUAAAACUAUUGUCGUCUACAACUCCAAUGUCAUGGGCUCGAAUCGUAGAGGACCAUAAAAAGUACCUAAUGGUGUUCAUUAAUUUUUUUACGUGCCUAUACAAGAGUUCCUCACCGUUAUUCAUUCGGUGCCAUAAAUAGAAAUGGGAUUGUUAGGAAUGUUACUGUCUAAUUAAACAAAAUUUUUGUCCUUAAAAAUUUUGUAAUUAUGUAAUGUUUUAUAGUUAGCUUUUUUCAUGCAUUAAUUUAUUUAAAUUAAAGAAACGGAUCAUUCUGAUUUAAAUUUAGAUAUGAUGUAAUCCGUGUUGCGAGCGGCC
rnacentral:lncRNA from 1 species